GGCCGCAGCAGCUCCUCCGCGGCCCUCUCCCAAAAUAUUAUCUAGGAGCUGCCGGUGCCUUCAUCAGCCGUGUGCCCAGAGCUGGGAUGGAUCCUGCCCCGGAGGUGGGGGUUCCUGGUGGAGCGUGGUCCCAGAUCACCGUGACACACCAGAUUGGUCAACUCCUAUGCCCGAACGAUUUCAUGUGAGUGGUGAGGACAGAUAUGGAUUCCCUCUCCCAUCUCAGUUGUGGUCACUCAGGUGCCCAAGCAUGGUGCUGGCUGGAAGGAGCUGUGCAGGAGCACUGCGGAGAAGAGACUUUCCAGGAAUGUUUCUGCAUGGAAAGCCAACACGUUUGCCUUGCAGGACUGAGGGAAGGAGGGAUGCUGACUUGGUUGGUGAAGUCAGUGUGAGUCUUCCCAUUGAUUCCGGUGGGUGCCGACCUCUGUGGGCUGAGACAGCAGCCUCAGCAUUGAGUUUGAACCUCACGCAGCGGGACCCUUAUCCACAUUGAGGCCACAAAAUGCUGUUGCAUCCUAAAUAAAUUCAGAUGAAACCAUCA
rnacentral:lncRNA from 1 species